rnacentral:rRNA from 1 species
UACAGAGGGGGCAAGCGUUGUUCGGAAUUACUGGGCGUAAAGGGCGCGUAGGCGGCUUAACAAGUCACUUGUGAAAUCUCCGGGCUUAACUCGGAACGGCCAAGUGAAACUGUUAUGCUAGAGUGCGGAAGGGGCAAUCGGAAUUCUUGGUGUAGCGGUGAAAUGCGUAGAUAUCAAGAGGAACACCUGAGGUGAAGACGGGUUGCUGGGCCGACACUGACGCUGAUGCGCGAAAGCCAGGGGAGCAAACGGG